rnacentral:rRNA from 1 species
CGCGUGAGGAACCUGCCUUCCAGAGGGGGACAACAGUUGGAAACGACUGCUAAUACCGCAUGACACAUGACCGUGGCAUCACGGACAUGUCAAAGAUUUAUCGCUGGAAGAUGGCCUCGCGUCUGAUUAGAUAGUUGGUGAGGUAACGGCCCACCAAGUCGACGAUCAGUAGCCGGACUGAGAGGUUGAACGGCCACAUUGGGACUGAGACACGGCCCAGACUCCUACGGAAGGCAGCAG